AAUAAACAGGACACUCACCGUCAGCCCGGGCUGCCACCACAACAGUUUGCUAUCCAGCAUUUAUCUAUUCAGUUGUGGACAGUCACUGAUGUCCUCUCUGCUGAGAAAAAAGCCCUGUCGGUACAUCUCGGACUGCAUGUGGCCCAGCCUCUCUGGGUUGGGGGAGAUCAGAGUCAUUGGUUGUAUGUUCAUGGGCUGAUUCCAUCCAAGUUUCAUCAAAACAUUGUGCAUGAAUUUCACAAAGAUUGUGCAAAAUGCAGCACGCUGUUACAACAUGUGGAACUCGCAAGAUUUGAACAUCCAUUCUUUUCAGAAGACAUCUCCAUCGUCCUUUGAGUCGACUAAAAGCACACUCUUAGCUUGGCUGUGGUGGUAGUUGAAGUAUCCUGAUCGUUAGUUAGGUGGCCAUUGUCAUGAUAAGGCUUCAUGAGCCAGUUCAGAAGGGGGUAUGCUGUCUCCUAGAAGCAUGACAGAGACUGAUGUGCCAUGAAUGUCACGGGUGAUCUAGAAAUGUACAACACACACACACCUAUCUCAUAUCACUGUCUCAUUUCACUAUUACACAUAUGCAAAUCUACAGACAUGACUUUGACUAUGUAUGUGAUACAUACAUUCAUACAUAGGUAAUAUAUAUUUGCAUAACAUCAGAUUAUAAUGCAUGAAUGGAGUCACCAGCCAAUUUUUGGGUUAUGUGCAAGUUUAACAAUAUAAAAACUAGUGAAUCACUGUGGUCUAUAUUCACCAUUUGAAAUAGCUCGUUGUUCUCAGCCAGAUUAUAAAGUGUGGAAUUUCUCAGCACUCUUGCAUCAUGUACGCGUCCUGGCCAUCCAACAUGUGUGUUGAUAAACCUGCCACAUA